AACGAACGCUGGCGGCAUGCCUAACACAUGCAAGUCGAACGAGACCUUCGGGUCUAGUGGCGCACGGGUGAGUAACGCGUGGGAACCUGCCCUUAGGUUCGGAAUAACUCCCCGAAAGGGGUGCUAAUACCGGAUAAUGUCUUCGGACCAAAGAUUUAUCGCCUUUGGAUGGGCCCGCGUUGGAUUAGCUAGUUGGUAGGGUAAAAGCCUACCAAGGCGACGAUCCAUAGCUGGUCUGAGAGGAUGAUCAGCCACACUGGGACUGAGACACGGCCCAGACUCCUACGGGAGGCAGCAGUGGGGAAUAUUGGACAAUGGGCGAAAGCCUGAUCCAGCAAUGCCGCGUGAGUGAUGAAGGCCUUAGGGUUGUAAAGCUCUUUUACCCGGGAUGAUAAUGACAGUACCGGGAGAAUAAGCUCCGGCUAACUCCGUG
rnacentral:rRNA from 1 species